AUUGAACGCUGGCGGCAUGCCUUACACAUGCAAGUCGAACGGCAGCACGGGGGCAACCCUGGUGGCGAGUGGCGAACGGGUGAGUAACAUAUCGGAACGUGCCCUGGAGUGGGGGAUAACUAGUCGAAAGAUUAGCUAAUACCGCAUACGAUCUACGGAUGAAAGUGGGGGAUCGCAAGACCUCAUGCUCGUGGAGCGGCCGAUAUCUGAUUAGCUAGUUGGUGGGGUAAAGGCCUACCAAGGCAUCGAUCAGUAGCUGGUCUGAGAGGACGACCAGCCACACUGGGACUGAGACACGGCCCAGACUCCUACGGGAGGCAGCAGUGGGGAAUUUUGGACAAUGGGCGCAAGCCUGAUCCAGCAAUGCCGCGUGAGUGAAGAAGGCCUUCGGGUUGUAAAGCUCUUUUGUCAGGGAAGAAACGGUGAGGGCUAAUAUCCUUUGCUAAUGACGGUACCUGAAGAAUAAGCACCGGCUAACUACGUGCCAGCAGCCGCGGUAAUACGCAGGGUGCAAGCGUUAAUCGGAAUUACUGGGCGUAAAGCGUGCGCAGGCGGUUGUGCAAGACCGAUGUGAAAUCCCCGGGCUUAACCUGGGAAUGGCAUUGGUGACUGCACGGCUAGAGUGUGUCAGAGGGGGGUAGAAUUCCACGUGUAGCAGUGAAAUGCGUAGAGAUGUGGAGGAAUACCGAUGGCGAAGGCAGCCCCCUGGGAUAACACUGACGCUCAUGCACGAAAGCGUGGGGAGCAAACAGGAUUAGAUACCCUGGUAGUCCACGCCCUAAACGAUGUCAACUAGUUGUCGGGUCUUAAUUGACUUGGUAACGCAGCUAACGCGUGAAGUUGACCGCCUGGGGAGUACGGUCGCAAGAUUAAAACUCAAAGGAAUUGACGGGGACCCGCACAAGCGGUGGAUGAUGUGGAUUAAUUCGAUGCAACGCGAAAAACCUUACCUACCCUUGACAUGGCAGGAAUCCCGGAGAGAUUCGGGAGUGCUCGAAAGAGAACCUGCAUACAGGUGCUGCAUGGCUGUCGUCAGCUCGUGUCGUGAGAUGUUGGGUUAAGUCCCGCAACGAGCGCAACCCUUGUCAUUAGUUGCUACGAAAGGGCACUCUAAUGAGACUGCCGGUGACAAACCGGAGGAAGGUGGGGAUGACGUCAAGUCCUCAUGGCCCUUAUGGGUAGGGCUUCACACGUCAUACAAUGGUACAUACAGAGGGCCGCCAACCCGCGAGGGGGAGCUAAUCCCAGAAAGUGUAUCGUAGUCCGGAUUGCAGUCUGCAACUCGACUGCAUGAAGUUGGAAUCGCUAGUAAUCGCGGAUCAGCAUGUCGCGGUGAAUACGUUCCCGGGUCU
rnacentral:rRNA from 1 species